GGGUCUACCCAUUGGUCAGGCUUAAAUGUCUGCACUGGUGAGGUGGAUCUCUACCUUCUGAGGAACUAUCAUGCUAUUUAUUUGGUGUGAUUGGAAAUCAGGACUGUUACUUUGAAAAAAUUAGAGUGUUUGAAGCGGACUAUCGUCUGAAUACAUUAGCAUGGAAUAAUGAAAUAGGACGGACUGAUUCUAUUUCGUUGGUUUCUAGGAUCACCGUA
rnacentral:rRNA from 1 species